UUUUUUUUUUUUUUUUUUUUUGGUAUAAUGAUAUAAAUGCACUCCAUAAUUUUUUGGAAGAGUACAAACCACUCUAUAAUGUUAUCAUUCUGUACCCAGCAGGUACAGAGCAGUCCAUUGAGCUGAGACCUUGUGGUUGUGUCUUGUGUUGUGAUGAUCACUUACUAUGUACUUGUCUAGUGGCCUUAACCUUCACAUGUUGUGCUAUACACCCAUCCACCCCAAUAUUUUUUUUUUCUGUUUGUCUUAGCAAAACUACAAACCAACUCUAGUGCCUUUUUCAAGUGAUAUCUUAUUUCUCUGUUCAUGUUAACUAAGUCUACUGUGUGUUUUUGAAGCUUACUGUAUGUUUAAUAAGCCCUCAAGUGGACUGUGUCUAUCAAGUAUAUUUAUAUACUGUAUAUUUAUAUGUAGGUAGUUAGUGAUGUCACUAGGUUGAGCACUUGUAUAAAAUACCCUAUUGCUUCAGUUCAAACUUAAUUUAUUAUCAAACCUAGAUCUGAACUUUUGUACAUUAAGACCUCUUUGUAGUUUUAAAAACUGCCCAUUUUUUGUGUAUUAAUGGCAUCUUCAUUUUCAGUCUACUUAACUUGGCAUUUUAGUAUCAACACUUUUUUACAAUCAAACAUUUGGAUCUAUUUCAACUCUUGGAAUCUAUGUAUUUUUUAAUUCUAGGUUUAUUUGAUAUGUGUAAAUAUAAACUUAAAUAAAAAAUGGAGAAGAAAAAAAAAAGCCAAAAUGUAAAGAAUCAUUUGACAUUUUGUGAUUCAGAAUGUAAAUAUAAAAAAAAGUUUGGGGUUUUGACCACACGCCUUUCUGCAUUUUAUUUGGAACUCUUGCCCUCCACAAUGUUUCACUAUUACUGCUUGCUGCAACAGAUUUGAAACUGUUCAUUUUGAUAGAGUUUUUUUUUUUUUUUUUACAUUUUUUA